rnacentral:lncRNA from 1 species
CCCUGUGGUCAGGUUUUCUACUCUACACACAGUGAUAUGCUACCCCCGGCUCUAUCCAUUGUUGCUGUAUAGGAAUGCUGGCUCGGUGUCACAAGAUUUUCUGAUUUUUCAAGAGAAGAUAUAAGGCAGAUGCUGCAAGGACCUGGUAAGUGGGGCACAAAGCCAUGCAAAUCCAUCUGAAGUCAGUUCAUUUCAGAGAUACCACCAGCUUCUGAUGGUGUUACACCCUGGAAAUGGCAGUCCAGCUCUAGCUUCUGGAAGGCAACUGGCAAGAGGUAAGGAAGAGAUGGUGGGAAGGUAGCCCCUCUCCUUGUUGGGGAGGAGCUUUCAUCUUAUUCCAGUUCUCAGCAGUAGAAGCUAUGCCUGGAGACUUCCAGGUGUCUCCUGUCCUGGUUCCUGCCUUGUUCUUUCUCUUUUCCCUCAUCCUCAUUUAUGUUUUCACUCCUCCUUCUCCAAUAUUCCAGAAUAUUCAUUCAUCCAUUCAAUGAAUAGGCAUUUAUUGACCACCUCCUUUGUGCCAAUUGCUGUUCUUGAUGCUGUGGUAACAGCAAGAACAGGACUGAACCCAUCCCAAUUUCCAUCUGAGCUACUUCUAGUAGAGGCUGGCAAAUAACAAACAAGUAAAUAAAAUGAAAAGCAUAAUUUGGGAGAGUGAGAAGUGCUCCCAAGGGCAGACAGAAUGGAGAGGGGAGCAAAGAAAGGGAAGGAGGGUGGAGGAGAAAGGGCCCAGCCUCUUAGUGCCUGACUAGCCCUUUGCUGUGAAGGCUCACCUUUCACGCUUGGCUUCUCCCUGAAGCUGGGAGCUACUUCAGGCAGGAGCCAUAUUUGAUUCAGCUGUGUCCAAGGUCAGACGCAAAGCUUCCCCAAACGCUGUUGGGCAGCAGAUUAUACCACAGUGUCUUGAAAUACCUGCAUGGUGUCUAUGUGAGCAAGACCUGCUGCCUCCAAGUGUCCUGUCGGUUGUGUUAAUCACGUGCAUGGGAGGUGAGGGGUGGUAUGUACUUGGAGGGGGAGCCCAUAGCGAAGGGCAGGGGAGAGAGAUAUUGAAGGGAUAUAUGCACUUCCCUUGAUAGGCCCCUUGCAAUUGAGUAGGGGCAAAUAUUAAUACAUUCUGAGUGCUCACUGUGUGCCUGGCUGAGAGCCAAAUGCAUUCCUUGCAUCUUCUUAUCAUCUCAUAGCAACCCUAUAUUGAAGAUGAUGUUCUUAUUCCUGUCUUUUAAUGAGGUUACUGGAUGAUAAAUAUAUUAAUUGACCACUUAGCAGAUGGAAACUAUUGAAAGCCUAACCCAAACUGCCAGGGUUAAAAUCCUGGCUGUUUCUCUUAUGAGUUGGGUAACCUUAGGCAAGAUGCCCUUCUUCUCUUUGGUGCUUCUAUUUUCUCCUCUGUAAAAUGGAGACAUUGCUAUGAAGGUGAAAUAAGUUAAUAGAUAGAAAAUGCUCAGAACUGUAUUUUACAGUAUCCCAGCAGUCCAGUUCAUUUUUUUAAUUUAUUUUAUUAUUUAUUUAUUUAUUUAUUUUGAGAGUGUCUCGCUCUGUCACCCAUGCUGGAGUACAGUGGCCCAAUCUCGGCUCACUGUAACCUCUGCCUCCCGGGUUCAAGCGAUUCUCGUGUGCAUAAAUUGGGACUCUCUGAAAUAUGUGGGUUUGAGAUUUAAAAGCACAUGACUAUGUUUUUAAAUGUUCAAAGCAUCAUAAUUGUAGCGCUUACAAACCAUUGAGUCUAUUUCUCUCAUUUUAAGCAUAAGAAAACAGCCGAAGAUUAGAUUUUGAUAAUGAGAGAGCCCAACGAUCCUGGACCCCUGGCCGGGAGGACAAUAGGGGAAACAGGUGAAACACUGUGUGAGCUGGACCACCCAGGCUCUCCAACACCAGGACACCAGAGCAUCCUUCCUCCUUCUUCUCUUCUGCUGCGACUUCCUGGAGGCAUAGCAGAGUUACAACUGCUGGCCAUGUGGAACUUCUCUUCUCCUAUAAGUUUGCUCUGAGAUGGAGAGAUUGUGCCUGUGGUUCAUUAGGAAGAGCUCUUGGGAUCAAUGCCUGUAAUAAGGAAGGGAAGGAAUCAGGAUUGGCCAGAAGGAGAAGUUGAGCUGUGUUGAAGCCUCAAUGGAGACCUCAGCCAAUUCUGAGUCAUGUUGGAGGUAAGCCCUGGUGGGAGGUGUUCGGGUCGUGGGAGCAGAUCCCUCAUGAAUGGCUUGGGCCAUCCUCUUGGUGAUGAGGGAACACUCACUCUGAGUGUUCACAAGAUCUGGUGGUUUAAACGUGUAUGGCACCUCUCCCCACCCCCACUCUUUCUUGUUCCUGCUUUUGCCAUGGGACUCGCAUGAUCCCUUUGCCUUCUGCCAGGACUAAAAGCUCCCUGGAGCCUCCUCAGAAGCUGAGCGAUGUUGGCGCCAUGCUUCUGGUACAGCCUGCAGAACCAUGAGCCAAUUCAACCUCCUUUCUUUAUAAAUUACCCAGUCUCAGGUAUUUCUUUAUGGCAAUACAAGAACACCAGGGGUUUGCAGGUAACCCGGGCCCCUGUCCUUGAGGACACAGCAGCAAG